CUUCGGUGAUGAUGCGAUGACGAGUCGGAAUGGUACAUUAGCUCUCUCUGGAUUGUGGGUCAGUGGACAUGUUCUGUGUCCCUGAUUUCAUUUCCUCAGUGGCAUGUUCCUUUUGCUUGAAGACAUCGAGGCAUUUGUCUGAGAAGA